rnacentral:lncRNA from 1 species
CUGGAUUCCUGGGGCCACCUACCUCCACUUUCCUCCGCAAGCCCUCAGAGGCCAAAGACCAUCAAGACAAGGAGACAAGGACCUUAGUAGCCCCAGGAAUUCACCACCACGCACCCACUUACACACUGCCAGUGUCUGUGAUCAGACUUUUUGAUUACGUUAUUGUAGCACUUGGUUGCAUGCAUAGCUCCAGAAACUUCUAAAGGACCAUCCAAACCGGGAGACGGGAACACACACACACACACACACACACACACACACACACACACACACACACAGAAACACGCAGGACCAUACUGUAUAAUGAUCGAGUCUCCUUGUGAAGACAAUUGACACAGACUUAUCCUAAAUCUCUAAUUCCCUCAAACACCACUUCCUCCAUGAGGUCCUUUAAUCUUUAACCCAAGUACAGGUAACUUCUAACUUCUCUGCAAUUGCAUGCAUUACAAGUAUUUCUGUCUGGCCCGAUGGCCACAACGAGUUACAAUAGCAGUCUUUACUCUGCAGUCUUUGGUCCGGCUAACAUCGGGAGCUGUGGUUCUGAGGAAGGAACCAGCCGCGGGGCUACACAUACGGUUUCCCUUUUCCGUAGACCAGUUGAUUGGGACGACCUCAUUGGAAUGGUCUUCCAGACCUCUACCAGUUUCUGCUCCAACUGUGAGCAAGGCUCACAUCCUCACCUACUGGGUUCUUUCUGCAUCUAAAUUGUGACAGUUAAAACCCAAACUGGUUUUACCCAGGUUCCAGAAAGGACCUCUUAGAGGUGCCACUAGCCACUUAGACAUUGCUCAGUCUAGUCUCUAAGACAAUUUUGACAUUAGUGGCUUUGUAACGUGUCGACUUGAUGAGGCUGAGUUGCAAGCUAAGUUGUCCAAUAAAAAAUGGAAACAUUUCCUUUCUGCGUUUAUUUCAUGACUUAUAUAAUUUUGCCUAUGUGUAAAAAAGAAAGCUUGAAAUUUCACUUAAACUUCAAAUAUUGGAUAUUUGAGAAAGAAAUUCCUACCGAAACCAGGUCCUGGGAUGUCUAAUAGUCUAGAUUCUUAAAAUUAGCAUCAAAUUCCAGGUAUGUGAUUUAGGAACAUAUUACUUUAUGGCAUUAAAAAGAAAUGGCUUGGUUUUGAACAUGUAAAAUCCCAUCUUUCAGUUUCUAUGAUUUACUGAAAUAUCUGUGGAUCAAAACCGAAUAUAUAACACAUGUUAUGAGAACAACGUUGGCUUACUGGUUAACUUUAAAAUAAGAUUUCUGAAGAUGUUUAUUCAACAAUACUUGCCCAUUUCAAAUGUAGACAUUUGGAGCCUAACUCGCUGAAUUUCCUCUGUGGAUACCUGUCACUAUCAUGUAGCAAGUGUGAGGGUUUGAAUAGGUAAGGCCCCCAUAGACUUAGGUGUUUGAAUAUCCAUAGGGAGUGGCACUAUUAGGAGGUGUGGCCUUGUUGGAGGAAGUGUAUCACUGUGGGGGCCUGGCUGUGAGGUCUUCUGUAUCCAAGCUCUGCCCAGUGUGGAACACAGUCUCCUGACUGUCUUCCAAUCAAGAUGUAGAACUCUGAGCUUCUCUAGCAUGGCAGCCUGCAUGCUGCCAUGUUUCCCUCCAUAAUAAUAAUGGACUAAACCUCUAAAACUGCAAGCUACCAUCAAUUAAAUGAUUUCCUUUAUAAGAGUUGCCUUGGUCAUCAUGUCUCUUCACAGCAAUGAGACCCUAACUAAGCAAGUGUGUGUGCCUUAAUUCCUAAUUCUAGGACUUUACAAGAAAGGGGUAAAGACAAAUGUACAAAAAGCUCUUGAGCACAGAAUUUACAAAUAAAAUACAAAACUGGUUGGAUUUGGAGGGUUGGGGUGACUGGUAUGUAGCCAAGCUUAGUCAUCAUUCUGAUUUUGUAUCUGAGAGUAGAGAGGUGUCCAGGAGCCAGUCCAAUGUGGAGCCCAGGAGGCAACUAUAACAUGGAACUUGCAGGACUCUCGAUAUAUUGAGUAGCUUUUAGUCUAUUGAAAUUUAGUUUAUAGUCACUUCACAAUAAACAAAAUACCAGGUUGCUAACAUGAGAGACAACCUUUGAGCUUUUCAGAUUUUUAAUUAAAUGGCUUUUCUUUUCCUGAAGUAUGUGUGAACCAGAUGCUGUUGAUUUUCCAACUAAACAUGAGUGAAAGGCGUCCAAGGAAAUGGUCAACUCUAGGUUGGAGACCUGAGUGGGCAGGGGUACCCACCACCCCAGAUGGUUCCAGUAUAAGCCCCAGAUGCCAGAUACAGAGCUGCAGAAUUUGGUGUUCACCUCCUUGGUUUAGGUCUUGCUAUGCUCUCAUCAUUCUUAACUAUGCCCUUAUUGCUCUCUGUUGGACUUCGUGCCAUUGGAUAUUAGAACUAUGUAACCUUUUCUGCUGGGUCUCAUCAUAAGAGAUUGAGCCCCAGUAGAGACUUUAUGCUUAUACUUUUGAAUACUCCUGGAAUGUUUAUACUUUGGGUACUUCAUGAAAUGUAAUAAAUACAUUUUGUGAUAUAAAAUUAA